rnacentral:misc_RNA from 1 species
GGCCAGAAAAUGGGCUGCCAACAACACCGUCACAUGUUGGAUCCUCGGAUAAAUCAGUGAUGUGAUCUCCAAAUGCCCUUCCUCUGCUUGGUGGCUAUGUCAACUCAAACGCACCGUCUGUGAGGGUUAGGGUUAGGAUUAAGGAAGGUUGAUUCGAAUCUUUCGACUUCUGAUCCAUCCAUGGCCAACCGCACCGAUCCUGCGGCCAAGAGUAUAAGGGGCACGAACCCCCAGAACCUGGUGGAGAAGAUUCUUAGGUCUAAGAUUUACCAGAACACCUACUGGAAGGAGCAAUGCUUCGGAUUAACAGCGGAGACGCUUGUGGACAAGGCUAUGGAGCUCGACCAUCUUGGUGGUACUUAUGGUGGCAACCGCAAACCUACACCUUUUAUGUGCUUGGUCAUGAAGAUGCUGCAAAUCCAGCCCGAGAAGGACAUCGUCGUCGAGUUCAUCAAAAACGACGAUUACAAAUAUGUGCGAAUACUUGGUGCUUUUUAUCUGCGUCUCACUGGGACUGAUGUGGAUGUGUACCGGUACCUAGAGCCUU